AGGAGAAGCUGCCGCAACUACGAGGCUGCAAAAUAAAUACGAAUGUAUAUGAAGGUUCAAAUACAUAAUUAUCAAAUAAAUAUAGAGAUGUGUAGGAAGUUGUUGGGCCUUCAGGCGGUACCCCAUCUGCGUGGGAGUACUACGAUAAAGUGCACCAUAUCCUUGGGAGAUACAAAUAUUUCUACCUAGAAGCAAUUAUAGAAGAAACUUCAACGGUCUCGUUCCAAUUGAGACAGAGGAAGAAUGC